ACUGUUGAGAGUGCAAGGCUCAGCCAGGUGGUGGGGACACCUUGAGUGAGGUGGACUUGCUGGGAGCUUGGGACUGGGGGAAAGGGUGCUGCGGCAGGGUCUCAUAGAAGGUAGACCCUCGUCGGUACUAAGGACGCACCGGAGAGGACUGGAGGUCUGGGAGGGGGGCCUGAGCCCUGCCCGAGGAGCGGGCCAUAAAUGAAAACUAUGCACAUUCAAGGAAAAUGCAACUAAUUGCAACACAAACUAUCCAAGACAUCUGGUGCAUCACGUUGGUCUGGAGGCACAUGAGCAAAAGGAGCUUCCAACUGUGUGGGGAAAAAUCAGUUAUGUUCCCAAGAGAUGUAAGAAGAGGAGCAGAGAACAGGCCGCAAGAUAAUCUAUAAAAGGCUUCCCUCUGGCAUGACUAAGAGGAAUCGGAGGAAGGGGGCCUGGCUGCUGGCUGCUGGAAUCAGAGGAAGGGGGCCUGGCAGAGCAGGUAUGUUUUCCUGAGUGCCCAGGCCCAGGCCCAGGCACAACCCAAGUGGGAACUGAGGCCUGAGGGGCAGAUUGUUCAGGCCCAGUCCUCUAGGGCUCAGGGGUCCAGGAGGGGCCCCUGCCCUGACCAGAGAAGGCUUAUGCCAGGGAACUGGGUAGCCCCGGUAUCCUACGGUAGUGAGGAGAAACUUUUUGAGCAGCCAGUGUCUGGUGUGGGCCCACCCCAGAGCCCCUAAGAGGCACAUGCCUGCCUGUAACAGGUAUGGGAUUCACAUGGACUUGAGGGAAGGAGGAUUGAGGGAAUGGAAGUGAUAGGCCAUGGGCCACAGUCUAGGGAGUGGCAGUGGUCCUGGGAAGACUCUCUGGAUGAAUGGGAAUUGGGUAGGACCUGUACCCACAAGAGGGGUUGGGAGACAGUGGUAGUGGGGGUCUUGAAGAAGAGGAGACAAAAGGACAGGUCAGAGGGGAAUGUGGAGACAUUGAGUAGCCUAUGCAGGUGAGUGGUCAGUGUGCAUACAGACUGUGGUGGGAUACUGCUUGCAAUCCAUUACCAAAAAAACACUACUUAGAACUGAAUUUUUGUCUCCUUCCUCUCUCCCUCAGGAAUAUUACUCUCAUCCUUGUAGUUCCUGGGUUGUCCGAGCAGGGCCCUUUUAGCCCAGAUACCUCGAUGGUGGGGGAAAAAAAAAAAAAAAAAGCAACAUCUGCUUCCCUUCUCCCAAAAUCAAUACCCCUGUUCAGGCGGUCCCCAGUCACUGCUCCCCACCUACCUGACC